AGAGCUUCCAGCAGGUAUCAGUUACUGGGACGACUGGAGGAUGGAAAUGUUUCUCUGACGAUCCUGAACACCACAGAGGAAGAUGCUGGACGGUACGGAUGCAGAGUGCAGAUACCUGGUUGGUUCAGUGAUGAAAAACAUCACAUCGAUCUGACCAUUGAGAAAGCUCCGUCGACCUCGUCAACACCAACCACAGAAACAACUGAACAGACGAUAAACACAUCAGGUCAGGUGACUGCUACAACUUCCUCAACCAGCAUCAACUCUGAG